rnacentral:rRNA from 1 species
AGUGAACGCUGGCGGUAGGCCUAACACAUGCAAGUCGAACGGCAGCACAGUAAGAGCUUGCUCUUACGGGUGGCGAGUGGCGGACGGGUGAGGAAUACAUCGGAAUCUACUUUUUCGUGGGGGAUAACGUAGGGAAACUUACGCUAAUACCGCAUACGACCUACGGGUGAAAGCAGGGGAUCUUCGGACCUUGCGCGAUUGAAUGAGCCGAUGUCGGAUUAGCUAGUUGGCGGGGUAAAGGCCCACCAAGGCGACGAUCCGUAGCUGGUCUGAGAGGAUGAUCAGCCACACGGGAACUGAGACACGGUCCAGACUCCUACGGGAGGCAGCAGUGGGGAAUAUUGGACAAUGGGCGAAAGCCUGAUACAGCCAUACCGCGUGAGUGAAGAAGGAGUUCGGGUUGGAAAGCCCUUUUGUUGGGAAAGAAAAGCAGCAGGUUAAUACCCCGCUGUUCUGACGGUACCCAAAGAAUAAGCACCGGCUAACUUCGUG